CAGCCGUAAACUAUGCGCGUUAGGUGUACUGGUGACCACGAGUCACCGGGGUGCCGAAGGGAAACCGUGAAAUGUGCCGCCUGGGAAGUACGGUCGCAAGGCUGAAACUUAAAGGAAUUGGCGGGGGAGGCACCACAACGGGUGGAGCCUGCGGGUUUAAUUUGGACUCAACGCCGGAAAUCUCACCGGAUAGGACAGACAUAUGAUAGUCGGGCUGAAGACUCUACUUGAUGAUCUGAGAGGAGGUGCAUGGCGUAGACGUCU
rnacentral:rRNA from 1 species